CUGAAAAUAGCCACAUAAAUUCACGCAUGUUUAAAUAUCGAACUAGAAGAGUGCAGUGACCUUGCUAAUGGCUACAAAAAACCCUUGGAUACUCUGCAGUUUGCUGAAGGACAUUUAUCCAAUAAUUUGAGAGAAUGGCUUCCAGCGUUUUUCUGCACAGCUCCAUCACAACUCAUUCUGCUUUUGACUCUCCAAGAUGCUCUCCAAGGCCUCCCGGAAAACUGAACAAACCCCACUGCUGCUUUAGAGUGGAUCUGAAGACUCAGAUCAAAACAAGACGAGGCCACAAGUCAAGUGGAGAAUGAAUUUGCACGGUAUGUCAGUGCAAUUGUCUUGAGGCAGGUUUAAGGCUGUUAGAUUUCUACAAUUCCCUGCUCCACUCAGUGGAGGACUCUUAACAGUUGUCUAAAUGGUGCUUAUAGUUUUCUACAGAGCCUUGAAAAUGUAUUCAUACUCAUUUUUUCCACAUCUUGUCUCUUUACAACCACAAACUUCCAUGUACUUUAUUGUGAUUUUAUGUGAUAUACCAAAAUGUGAUCUCAGUAAAAAUUAUGCUGUGACCACCUCAGAGGAUUGUACAGGACAUAAUUGGUUAAUAAAUCAUGUUUCUCUAGGUU